GAAGCCGGCAAAAAGUAGUCCAACACUUCCUCUUUCCGCUGUUGCUGGUCAGCUUGUGCGUUCCCCGGGCCGGGUGGCAGUGAGACACCCUUGUAUGGGAGGUGACGCCCACGAUGCAGGCCAACAGCGCCGCUGCUCGUCCAGCGGGGUCGCAGGGCCGCCACCGGUGCGCCAUUGCCGUGAAGAACAACGUGCAAUACCUUUUUGUAGUGGUGCCGAAGCCAAAGCCUCCUCCCAAGGUUGAGCUCGAGCCGCUCAUGUUCUUUGAAACCCUCCCUCCGACGACGCCACCCGCGCCGGAUCCUCGACAGACUGAAGACAUGUACAUGCCGAAGCGGGACAGUUUAGAGGACGCCAUGGCGAUACCCCUCGAGGUGAACGGCAGCGGCCAGUUGCGGCGCUCGCUAGCGUUACCAGCGACGGAGUUCGCUUCUCUGGAAGAGGCGCAGCAGCAGUGCGGCCCUUUCACGUCUUUCCACGAGUACCCGGCGCUGUUUGGGUGCCUCACGAUUGACAGGGUGUACGUGCUCGUCGCCACAGCCGUCACGGCCGCAGUGCCGUUGCCCUUUGCGGGUGUUAUCUACAAUGUGACGGGGACGGCGUGGGUGCCGUUCGAAAUACCUGGAGUGGCGCCGGUGCGUGUGAGCCCAACGGACCGGGUACGGCUGCGUGAGUUUCAGGAGUACGCCUUUUGCAAAGGCUACUACUACAGCGACGACGUGAACGUCAUGCUGCCCUUUCCGUUCACGAAGCCAGCAAACUGUGCGCCACCGGACAUGGCCUGCGACUGGUCCUACCACCUCCGCGAGCCGUUCUCUGCCUGCUCGCUGACGGCGGCGUGCUCUGUGUUGGUGCGCGGCUUUGCCGGAGAGCGCGUCUGCACGCUCAAGGAUGGCACCGAGCUCCACCUGGUCCUGCUGGGAAGGCAAAGCAACGUCAAUCCGGGUCCACGGUACCUCAGCCGUGGCCUGAACGCGGCAAACGGCGCCGGCAACGACCACUACUACGAGUACAUUCUCUGGAAGUACUACGGCCCCGACACCGUGACCUUCACACGUCACUCAAUCCUGCGCGGCACCAUCCCGGUGCACUGGACGACGCAGAUGACCAUGUCGCUCUCCGAGCCGGCGAUGAUCUUCAACAGCGACAAGGCCGAGGUCCUCCGCGGCAGCGCGACGUACUUUUCACACAUGUUCCAGGAGCUCAAGGACGUGAUGCUGCUCGAUACAAACGGCCAAACCGCGUCAAAUCCGCAAGUGCGAUGUAUCAACCUCCUGCGCCUCAACCCGAAAAGUGGCGAAGAUGUGCUAGCGCGGCACUUCCUCGAUGCCGUCCGGGCAUCCGACGUUGUCAUCAAGCAAUCGUUUCCAGGCGGCAGCCUCGACCUCGUCCACGUCGACUGGCUGAACCUCAUCAAGGAGUACGGCAUCGAUGUUGCCACCUCUACCUUCUGGGAGGCAUCAAUGGGAUUCCUCGGCACCACGCCCACAGCAGAGGACUCGAUGAUGACGGUGGGUAUGAUUCACCGUACCGGCAAGGUGGACCGCCUAAUCACGCAGUCACGCUUCGUGCGUCUCAACUGCGCCGAUUCGCUGGACCGAACGAACCUCGGCUGCUUCUUUACAUGCCUGCAGCUCUCCAUCGCCAUGCUCAUCACCCAACGUAUUCCUUACGGCAGUUUCCCAGACAGCCCGCCUGUGCCUCGGCUGGAUGCUUCUGAGGAGGUCGCCGUGGAGGGCGGGUACGCGGCGGCCUUUGCGCCCAUGUCGGGCGCAAAGCAGACGGUGCCGAAGCCUUUUAUGAACACGUGGAACGAAGCCCGCGACCCACAGCGCAUUCCCCCCCUCAUGGUUCGCGCGCUAGCGGAGCUGUUCGUAAACAACGGCGACUGUGUGGCGAUGCUGUACACGAAUUCGGCCGCCAUGCACGGUAACAUCCUGCGUGCUGUCUGCGGCAUGCGACUGCAAGGGCACAACGCUGUGAUUGCAACGCAGCGCAAGUUCGAGAACGUCUUUGAGGACCGGAAAAAGCUGCGCGGCAUCGAGCUGCUGCUGGGGCGGAACCAGGGCGAUCACUUUCCUUCCAUUAGCCCAGUAUUCCUUCUGCGACCGGUGGCGUACACGCAGUGGGCGUGCGCCCUCGUUGUCCUCGGUGUUCCCGACAACGUCACCACGAGCGAGGUGGACGCGGCGGUGCGGCGCGCGUGGGACACCCGCGUCAUGCCACAGCUUGCCGUGCGCCAGCUGCCGCCCAUCGAGAGCAGGGCACUGGUCUUCACCGUGACGCUGUCAGCGGCGUCGAUCACGCGUGAACAGGACGAUGUGGCGCGGUCCGGGCAGCAAUCCUCCCUCGGCGGGAUGCUGCCGGAGGAGGCAAUCGAGGACGCGACGGCGGACAACCGCACACCUCCCCCGCGAAAGGAGCGGCUCGCCAUCAUCGAGUUCGACCCCAACCUGUGCAUCGUUGUAGACGUGACGAGCUUGCUGCGGCAGCAGGGUUUCCUCCCGCUUGGCAACAACAACUGCGUCCUUGCACCGUAUGCGUACCCGGUGCUGACGGCCAACGACUCCAACAGGAUGACUGGCGCCGUUAAAAACGUUGGUACAUCUCUGAAGCGCGGGCUCACCAGCUUGAUGCGCGGCCUCAACUGAGUUUGCUGGCGUCGCGCUUCUGUCUGCCGGGUCUGUGUUCGGCUACGGCUGCUUAUAUGUUACGGGUUGUUGCUUGUUUGGCGCGCGGGCCCUCUGUUUUUGUGUAGUUGCUUGCAAAACGUCACCACAAUCGAGCUGAAAACUGUAAACCAGCAACCCGCCGCCCAGUUUAUGGGCCGUCGGCGCCGUGCAGUUGCGUUCGGCUUCGCUUUGCUGCCGCUCUCGCACGCUGUUCCCUGCAUACACCGCAUGACAAAUGCACGAUGAGCACGUCCUUUCUCGUCAUACACGUUCUCUUCCUCUCUCAUCCUGGCCAG
rnacentral:misc_RNA from 1 species